UACAGAGGUCCCGAGCGUGUUCGGAUUUAUUGGGCGUAAAGGGUGCGUAGGCGGCGGAGUAAGUUGGGUGUGAAAUCCCGGGGCUCAACCUCGGAAUUGCAUUCAAUACUGCUACGCUCGAGUACUGGAGAGGAGGCUGGAAUUUACGGUGUAGCAGUGAAAUGCGUAGAUAUCGUAAGGAAGGCGGUGGCGAAAGCGAGCCUCUGGACAGUUACUGACGCUGAUGCACGAAGGCCAGGGGAGCAAACGGG
rnacentral:rRNA from 1 species